CAUUAAUCUUGCUCCCCACAGAGCUCUGAGGAGCCUGAACCAGGAACUUGAUCAACAGAGAGAACACGCAGGUGCCAGGAAGCCCAAGUUUCCUCAAAGAAAGGCCAUUUCUAAAAACACCUGCUGACACAGGGGUGCUGGUUCCUCUUUGAGAACCCAGUCUCUGAGGUUUGGCCAUAUCUCCAACAGAGGUGGGCUAGAAAGGAGCCCUUAGACACCUCAACUUAAGCCAUGACCUCUGCAUGCAUCUCAACACUUGCGAUUUUCUUCACACUGAGUGGACUGAGAGCUCAGUCAGUGACUCAGCCAAAAGAUCAGAUCACUGUGGCCGAAGGAAAUCCACUGACUGUGAAAUGCACCUAUUCAUUUUCUGGGAGCCCUUAUCUCUUUUGGUACGUCCAAUAUCCAAACCAAGGUCUCCAGUUCCUUCUGAAAUACAUCACAGGGGACAGCCUGGUUAAAGGAAGCUACGGUUUUGAGGCUGAAUUUAAUAAGAGCCAAACCUCUUUCCACCUGAAGAAACCAUCUGUCCUCGGGAGUGACUCUGCUGUGUACUUCUGUGCUGGGAGUGACACAGUGGUGGGGGCUGCAGGGAGAGCUGAACACAAACCCCUGAGUACAUUGAAGGAACUAAGGUGCAGAGAAUUUAAGCCUCUCACUCAAGUCACAAAACUAUUCAAUGGCAAGUUGAAACCCAGGCAGUCUGCCUCUCAGGUACAUAUUCUAACCAUUCCACAUCCCUACCAGCCUAUCGGCUCCUUGAGGCAUGAGAUUGUGAUUUCAGCGAUGGUGUAA